UGGGGAAUAUUGGACAAUGGGUGCAAGCCUGAUCCAGCCAUGCCGCGUGAGUGAUGAAGGCCCUAGGGUUGUAAAGCUCUUUCACCGGUGAAGAUAAUGACGGUAACCGGAGAAGAAGCUCCGGCUAACUUCGUGCCAGCAGCCGCGGUAAUACGAAGGGGGCUAGCGUCGUUCGGAUUUACUGGGCGUAAAGCGCACGUAGGCGGACUUUUAAGUCAGGUGUGAAAUCCCGGGGCACAACCCCGGAACUGCCUUUGAUACUGGAAGUCUUGAGUAUGGUAGAGGUGAGUGGAAUUCCGAGUGUAGAGGUGAAAUUCGUAGAUAUUCGGAGGAACACCAGUGGCGAAGGCAGCUCACUGGACCAUUACUGACGCUGAGGUGCGAAAGCGUGGGGAGCAAACAGG
rnacentral:rRNA from 1 species